rnacentral:lncRNA from 1 species
CCCGCCCGCCGCCAGUUCGGCGCGUCAGUCGGCGAAGAGUCCAGUGGUGGGUGCGGAUCUUGAGAUCGUUCCUGCGGCCUCCUCUUCCUCCCCGUUCCCCUCACCCCUACCCCACACCCUUUUCCUUCUUCCCAGCCCCGUCACCUUCCCGUCCCCCACACUCAAGACAAGAAUGCCCUGCCCGGAACAACCUAGCAGCGCCUAGAUGGCUUUGGUCACGGUCCAGCGGUCGCCUACCCCCAGCACCACCUCCAGCCCCUGCGCUUCGAUAAGGAAAUAUAAGAAAUUACAUUUAUUGAAGUUGAAGGAAUACAUCUCCAUGCAGCUUGCUGAUUGGAACAAUGAUUUUCCUGUUGUUGCUUCAGACAUUUUAUAGACACAUCAAGAAUUUGGGAGAGCUCUUUCUUC